rnacentral:rRNA from 1 species
UGAGGAAUAUUGGUCAAUGGACGCAAGUCUGAACCAGCCAAGUAGCGUGCAGGAUGACGGCCCUAUGGGUUGUAAACUGCUUUUAUAUGGGGAUAAAGUGCGUGACGUGUCAUGCAUUGCAGGUACCACAUGAAUAAGGACCGGCUAAUUCCCUGCCAGCAGCCGCAGUAAUACGGAAGGUCCGGGCGUUAUCCGGAUUUAUUGGGUUUAAAGGGAGCGUAGGCUGUCUAUUAAGCGUGUUGUGAAAUAUACCGGCUCAACCGGUGGCUUGCAGCGCGAACUGGUCGACUUGAGUAUGCAGGAAGUAGGCGGAAUUCAUGGUGUAGCGGUGAAAUGCUUAGAUAUCAUGACGAACUCCGAUUGCGCAGGCAGCUUACUGUAGCAUAACUGACGCUGAUGCUCGAAAGUGCGGGUAUCAAACAGG